rnacentral:rRNA from 1 species
GCUGGCGGCAGGCUUAACACAUGCAAGUCGAGCGGGCGUAGCAAUACGUCAGCGGCAGACGGGUGAGUAACGCGUGGGAACGUACCUUUUGGUUCGGAACAACACAGGGAAACUUGUGCUAAUACCGGAUAAGCCCUUACGGGGAAAGAUUUAUCGCCGAAAGAUCGGCCCGCGUCUGAUUAGCUAGUUGGUGAGGUAAUGGCUCACCAAGGCGACGAUCAGUAGCUGGUCUGAGAGGAUGAUCAGCCACAUUGGGACUGAGACACGGCCCAAACUCCUACGGGAGGCAGCAGUGGGGAAUAUUGGACAAUGGGCGCAAGCCUGAUCCAGCCAUGCCGCGUGAGUGAUGAAGGCCCUAGGGUUGUAAAGCUCUUUUGUGCGGGAAGAUAAUGACGGUACCGCAAGAAUAAGCCCCGGCUAACUUCGUGCCAGCAGCCGCGGUAAUACGAAGGGGGCUAGCGUUGCUCGGAAUCACUGGGCGUAAAGGGUGCGUAGGCGGGUCUUUAAGUCAGGGGUGAAAUCCUGGAGCUCAACUCCAGAACUGCCUUUGAUACUGAGGAUCUUGAGUUCGGGAGAGGUGAGUGGAACUGCGAGUGUAGAGGUGAAAUUCGUAGAUAUUCGCAAGAACACCAGUGGCGAAG